GAUGAACGCUAGCGGCAGGCCUAAUACAUGCAAGUCGAGGGGCAGCAUAGUAGCAAUACUGAUGGCGACCGGCGCACGGGUGCGUAACGCGUAUGCAACCUACCCAUUACUGAGGGAUAGCCCGGAGAAAUUCGGAUUAAUACCUCAUGGUAUCAAAAGACAGGCAUUUGUUUUUGAUUAAAGAUUUAUCGGUAAUGGAUGGGCAUGCGUCAGAUUAGCUAGUUGGCGGGGUAACGGCCCACCAAGGCGAUGAUCUGUAGGGGGUCUGAGAGGAUGAUCCCCCACACUGGUACUGAGAUACGGACCAGACUCCUACGGGAGGCAGCAGUAGGGAAUAUUGGUCAAUGGGCGAGAGCCUGAACCAGCCAUGCCGCGUGCAGGAAGAAGGCCCUC
rnacentral:rRNA from 1 species